rnacentral:rRNA from 1 species
UACGGGGGGGGGGCAAGCGUUGUCCGGAAGUAUUGGGCGUAAAGAGCUCGUAGGUGGUUUGUCGCGUUGUCCGUGAAAACUCACAGCUUAACUGUGGGCGUGCGGGCGAUACGGGCAGACUGGAGUACUGCAGGGGAGACUGGAAUUCCUGGUGUAGCGGUGGAAUGCGCAGAUAUCAGGAGGAACACCGGUGGCGAAGGCGGGUCUCUGGGCAGUAACUGACGCUGAGGAGCGAAAGCGUGGGGAGCGAACAGG